rnacentral:lncRNA from 15 species
UGCUGUAGAUAACCUCAGUAGACAUUUACCUACCUGACUGUCCUCCAAACGCCGGUGUCGGCCUGACACAUACAAAGAUUACUGCGACAAAGCGAGAGUGCGAACCCCCUUCACUUCCGUUUUAGCUAAAACGAGAGCGCUUUGGGUGGUCAGAGGUAUUUUAAAUCAUACCAGAGCGGAGCCUGCAGCCCUGAGUGGGUGUGUGGUUGUUCCUCCAUCUGCCCCGAUGUGGGGAGGCCCAGGUGCUUUUUCAGAAGCCACAGUGGAAACGGAGCUGUUGAGUGAGUGCAAACUCAGGCAUUCAGCUGGCAGCACGAGCGGAGUCAGCCUGUUUUAAACGCUGUGAUCAAAUCAGAGCUCAGUGAUUCCUCGGAUGCUGCAGGGAAGCACAGUGAACCAUCACACUGCGUGUCCUUCAACGGGGGAAGCCUAGCCUCAGGCCUUCAUGGCAGCAAACAACUGUCCUACUGACAUGUCCUGAAGCAAGAUGCUG